CCGGCGACCGGCGCACGGUGAGUAACACGUAUGCAACCUGGCCGUGACAGAUGGAUAACCGGGAGAAAUCCCGCCUAAUACAGCAUGACGCCGGGAAGGGACAUCCCUUUCCGGCCAAAGGGGGCGACUCCGGUCACGGAUGGGCAUGCGGCGCAUUAGGUAGUUGGUGGGGCAACGGCCCACCAAGCCGACGAUGCGUAGGGGUUCUGAGAGGAAGGCCCCCCACACUGGUACUGAGACACGGACCAGACUCCUACGGAAGGCAGCAG
rnacentral:rRNA from 1 species